rnacentral:rRNA from 1 species
GACGUAGGAUGCAAGCGUUGUCCGGAUUUAUUGGGCGUAAAGAGUUCGUAGGUGGUUUGUUAAGUCUGAUGUUAAAGACUGGGGCUCAACCUCGGAAAUGCAUUGGAUACUGGCAGACUUGAGUGUGGUAGAGGCAAUCGGAAAUUCCAGGUGUAGCGGUGAAAUGCGUAGAUAUCUGGAAGAACACCGGUGGCGCAAGCGGAUUGCUGGGCCAUAACUGACACUGAGGAACGAAAGCUAGGGGAGCGAAUGGG